AUUGAACGCUGGCGGCAUGCUUUACACAUGCAAGUCGAACGGUAACAGGGUGCUUGCACCGCUGACGAGUGGCGAACGGGUGAGUAAUGCGUCGGAACGUGCCGAGUAGUGGGGGAUAACGCAGCGAAAGUUGUGCUAAUACCGCAUACGUACUGAGGUGGAAAGUGGGGGACCUUCGGGCCUCACGCUAUUCGAGCGGCCGACGUCUGAUUAGCUAGUAGGUGAGGUAAAGGCUCACCUAGGCGACGAUCAGUAGCGGGUCUGAGAGGAUGAUCCGCCACACUGGGACUGAGACACGGCCCAGACUCCUACGGAGGCAGCAGUGGGGAAUUUUGGACAAUGGGCGAAAGCCUGAUCCAGCCAUGCCGCGUGUCUGAAGAAGGCCUUCGGGUUGUAAAGGACUUUUGUCAGGGAGGAAAUCCCUAGUGCUAAUAACACUGGGGGAUGACAGUACCUGAAGAAUAAGCACCGGCUAACUACGUGCCAGCAGCCGCAGUAA
rnacentral:rRNA from 1 species